CCCACCAUCAUUAGAUGUUCUUAAUUCGUCUCCCAAAACUACAAAAGUAAUAGAUGUGAGACAGAGAAAAGAGGUACACCUGUCCCUGUGCUGGGGUGCCUGGCAGAUAUUAAACAGGGCUUGAAGUACAUCAUUCCAUGCUGUCUUGCACAUAGUGUUCUGGAUGUGAGAACUGAUGACAUACUGUGGUUGUUUCUCUUUGAUAUCAAUAACUGAAAAUGAGAAGAUAAUGGGAAAAGACAGAAAGCGGGAGAUUGUGAAUAAGAAGACUAUAUGGAUUAGAUGCAUGAAGAGUACUAAAAAAACGUACAGGCAGUGCAGAGAAGGUACAGUUGUAAAACACUUAGGUAGAAUAUAAGCAAAACAAACUAAACAAUUAAAAUGUAAAUAACACAUGAAGCAAAACCAUAAUCUCAGAAUUGCUUCCCAGUUGGAAUCCAAAUAGGCAAACUCUAUUUAAUAUUAAAUAUUAAAACUGUUAACAGAAACCCUAGAAAUUAGAAACCAAGAGUUUCAUUAGACUGUAAACCAGACCUACAAAAGUCCUCUAUCAAUUCAGAAACAAGCAACUGGAAAUGGAUGUGAAAAAGCCACAGUGAGAGCCCAGGCGAAGGAUACGCCAAG